CUACGGGUCGCUCCAGUGGGGAAUAUUGCACAAUGGGCGCAAGCCUGAUGCAGCAACGCCGCGUGAGGGAUGAAGGCCUUCGGGUUGUAAACCUCUUUUAGCAGGGAAGAAGCGAAAGUGACGGUACCUGCAGAAAAAGCACCGGCUAACUACGUGCCAGCAGCCGCGGUAAUACGUAGGGUGCAAGCGUUGUCCGGAAUUAUUGGGCGUAAAGAGCUCGUAGGCGGUUUGUCACGUCUGCUGUGAAGAUCCAAGGCUCAACCUUGGACUUGCAGUGGGUACGGGCAGGCUAGAGUGCGGUAGGGGAGAGGGGAAUUCCUGGUGUAGCGGUGGAAUGCGCAGAUAUCAGGAGGAACACCAAUGGCGAAGGCACAUCUCUGGGCCGUAACUGACGCUGAGGAGCGAAAGCGUGGGGAGCGAACAGGAUUAGAUACCCGUGUAGUC
rnacentral:rRNA from 1 species